rnacentral:rRNA from 1 species
CUUGACAUACCGAUGACAGGUCUAGAGAUAGAUUUUCCCUUUUAGGGCAUCGGAUACAGGUGGUGCAUGGUUGUCGUCAGCUCGUGUCGUGAGAUGUUGGGUUAAGUCCCGCAACGAGCGCAACCCCUAUUGUUAGUUGCCAUCAUUAAGUUGGGCACUCUAGCGAGACUGCCAGUAAUAAACUGGAGGAAGGUGGGGAUGACGUCAAAUCAUCAUGCCCCUUAUGACCUGGGCUACACACGUGCUACAAUGGGAAGUACAACGAGUUGCGAGGCGGUGACGCCAAGCUAAUCUCUUAAAAGCUUCUCUCAGUUCGGAUUGUAGGCUGCAACUCGCCUACAUGAAGUCGGAAUCGCUAGUAAUCGCGGAUCAGCACGCCGCGGUGAAUACGUUCCCGGGCCUUGUACACACCGCCCGUCACACCACGAGAGUUUGUAACACCCGAAGUCGGUGAGGUAACCGUAAGGAGCCAACCGCCUAAGGUGGGAUAGAUGAUUGGGGUGAAGUCGUAACAAGGUAAGCGUAGAUGA